GACGAACGCUGGCGGCGUGCUUAACACAUGCAAGUCGAACGGAAAGGCCCUGCUUUUGUGGGGUGCUCGAGCGGCGAACGGGUGAGUAACACGUGAGUAACCUGCCCUUGACUUUGGGAUAACUUCAGGAAACUGGGGCUAAUACCGGAUAGGAGCUCCUGCUGCAUGGUGGGGGUUGGAAAGUUUCGGCGGUUGGGGAUGGACUCGCGGCUUAUCAGCUUGUUGGUGGGGUAGUGGCUUACCAAGGCUUUGACGGGUAGCCGGCCUGAGAGGGUGACCGGCCACAUUGGGACUGAGAUACGGCCCAGACUCCUACGGGAGGCAGCAGUGGGGAAUAUUGCACAAUGGGCGGAAGCCUGAUGCAGCAACGCCGCGUGCGGGAUGACGGCCUUCGGGUGGUAAACCGCUUUCGCCUGUGACGAAGCGUGAGUGACGGUAAUGGGUAAAGAAGCACCGGCUAACUACGU
rnacentral:rRNA from 1 species